rnacentral:rRNA from 1 species
UACGGAGGAUGCAAGCGUUAUCCGGAUUCAUUGGGUUUAAAGGGUGCGUAGGCGGGCUAUUAAGUCAGUGGUGAAAUCCUGCAGCUUAACUGCAGAACUGCCGUUGAUACUGAUAGUCUUGAGUUUGGUUAAGGUAGGCAGAAUGUGUAAUGUAGCGGUGAAAUGCUUAGAUAUUACACAGAACACCAAUUGCGUAGGCAGCUUACUGAGCCGACACUGACGCUGAGGCACGAAAGCGUGGGGAUCAAACA